rnacentral:rRNA from 1 species
UACGGAGGGUGCAAACGUUGCUCGGAAUCAUUGGGCGUAAAGCGCACGUAGGCGGCCUGUUAAGUUGGGUGUGAAAGCCCAAGGCUCAACCUUGGAAGUGCAUUCAAAACUGGCGGGCUUGAAUAUGGACGAGGGUCGCGGAAUUCCCGGUGUAGAGGUGAAAUUCGUAGAUAUCGGGAGGAAGACCAGUGGCGAAGGCGGGUCUCUGGACAGUUCCUGACGCUGAGGCACGAAGGCCAGGGGAGCAAACGGG